GGGAGGAAGCGAUAAAAAAUACCGAUUUUUCAUGUUAAACACAAUAUAUGGAGGUGUGAUGCAAUAUGAAAAAGUAUGAAUGUGGAUGAAAUAGUGUAAUGUGUAAUUACUAAUUAAAAGUUAAUAAAAUUGACAAAGAUAAGUACACAUUCAUAUAAGUAUUGUAUUAGAAUAUUAAAUAAAAUAGAGAACCAUGCAUAAACAAUUUUGAUUAUUAGCUAGGGGUGUAAUUUUUAAAUAACUCUCUG
rnacentral:lncRNA from 1 species